rnacentral:rRNA from 1 species
ACACAUGCAAGUCGAACGAAGCACCUUGAUUUGAUUCUUCGGAUGAAGAUCCUGGUGACUGAGUGGCGGACGGGUGAGUAACGCGUGGGUAACCUGCCUCAUACAGGGGGGUAACAGUUAGAAAUGACUGCUAAUACCGCAUAAGACCACAGCACCGCAUGGUGCAGGGGUAAAAACUCCGGUGGUAUGAGAUGGACCCGCGUCUGAUUAGGUAGUUGGUGGGGUAACGGCCUACCAAGCCGACGAUCAGUAGCCGACCUGAGAGGGUGACCGGCCACAUUGGGACUGAGACACGGCCCAAACUCCUACGGGAGGCAGCAGUGGGGAAUAUUGCACAAUGGGGGAAACCCUGAUGCAGCGACGCCGCGUGAGCGAUGAAGUAUUUCGGUAUGUAAAGCUCUAUCAGCAGGGAAGAAAAUGACGGUACCUGACUAAGAAGCACCGGCUAAAUACGUGCCAGCAGCCGCGGUAAUACGUAUGGUGCAAGCGUUAUCCGGAUUUACUGGGUGUAAAGGGAGCGUAGACGGAGUGGCAAGUCUGAUGUGAAAACCCGGGGCUCAACCCCGGGACUGCAUUGGAAACUGUCAAUCUGGAGUACCGGAGAGGUAAGCGGAAUUCCUAGUGUAGCGGUGAAAUGCGUAGAUAUUAGGAGGAACACCAGUGGCGAAGGCGGCUUACUGGACGGUAACUGACGUUGAGGCUCGAAAGCGUGGGGAGCAAACAGGAUUAGAUACCCUGGUAGUCCACGCCGUAAACGAUGACUACUAGGUGUCGGGCAGCAAAGCUGUUCGG